AUUGAACGCUGGCGGCAGGCCUAACACAUGCAAGUCGAACGAGUGGCGGACGGGUGAGUAAUGUAUGGGAAACUGCCUGAUGGAGGGGGAUAACUACUGGAAAAGGUAGCUAAUACCGCAUACCAUCGGAUGUGCCCAGAUGGGAUUAGCGAGUAGGUGGGGUAAAGGCUCACCUAGGCGACGAUCCCUAGCUGGUCUGAGAGGAUGACCAGCAAUACUGGACUGGAGACACGGUCCAGACUCCUACGGGAGGCGGCAGUGGGGAAUAUUGCACAAGGGGCGCCAGCCUGAUGCAGCCAUGCCGCGUGUAUGAAGAAGGCCUUCGGGUUGUAAAGUACUUUCAGCGUGGAGGCGUUACCCGCAGAAGAAGCACCGGCUAACUCCGUGCCAGCAGCCGCGGUAAUUC
rnacentral:rRNA from 1 species